rnacentral:tRNA from 1 species
AGUAAAUAGCUAAAAAAUAAAGUUUAUUAUUUACGUUAAUAAGAUACCUUAAGGGUUUUACUUUU